UUUGGGGGCUUGAUACUGUAGGUUCGAGGCUACAGGAAAUGAGCAAAACUGGAAGAAGACUAGUAGAUAACUGCUUUUUUUGGGCUCACUCCCCAACCCCUCCAACCAGGAAUUGCCUCUCCCUUCCCUGACCCUGAAUGGUCCUUCUUCCAGAAUUUUUCUCUGUAUCCAACACCCACAGUCUCCAGCAUGGAGACCAACCUGGGACUUAAACUCAGGACCUGAGCUGACAUCAAGAGUUGGAUGCUUAACUGACUGAGCUACACAGCUACACAGAUGGGAGAUGUGACUUCCUUCCAACAUAUGGAAUGGAGCAAAGGUGACCGGCUGUCACUUCCAUGAUUAUAUCACGUGAGUCCAAAUGCAGCCAAUCACCAGCCACCUACACCAUCACCUGGCGGAAGCGGCUGAGGGAAUCAGCUGUGCACCUGGAAGAGGAAAGGCAGAUUCUGGGAUACUGGAGUCAGAAUAUGCUCAACAGUAUAAAUGGAUGGAAAGGAUCAACAAGGUCAUGGCCACAACAGCUUUUGUAAGGAGCAUAGUCUGUCUACUACCCUGAAGCCUUAGUCCUUGAGUUCCUGCUCCCUGUUCAUUCUGAAACCUGGAACGCACAGCUACAGAACAAACACUUCAGACAUAUUCCAAACACAAAGCAGUGUUUUUCAUUUCUCAGUGUGACCUGUCCUUUCCAAAUUCAUUGUCUAUGUAACAAGGCUUGCUACUGUACCGAUGAUGGAGAGCACUUUGUCCAAAGCAUUGUACAAAGCCCAGAAGUUUGGAGCCCAAUAUGCAUGGCAGAGGCCCCUCUUGAAAGGGAAGAGUCGGGACAAGACUUGAGGCAGCUGGUUCUGUAGAAAAAAGAUUCAACAGUGACCAAUCUUCUCCGACUCAAAAAGAGAACUAGGAACUAUGUGACAUGGUGAGUGGAAAGUUACGUCUGAGUUCCAGUCUUUGUUCCUUCAAGUAGUUAUGUGAUCCUGAGCAAUUGUCAGAACCUCCUCUUAUCUAACGUAAUCUGUUGAUGGGGUACAAGAUAUUCUGAAUACUAAUCCACUGCUGUUAUGAGAGAAGCCUCAUAAGGGAAGAAUUUAUGAGGUGCAGAAGAGGACAGCAUGCAACUUAUCCAAAUCUACUGACAAGAGGGUGACGCCAAGGAAGAUUUUAGAAAGGAUGCGAUGCUUUUCAGUUUUAUCAGGAAUUAAAAUUAAUUAGUGGAAUUCAGGGUAUGGGAAGAAGGGAGCAAUUUUUAAAAAUAUCUGUUGAACAUGUGUGAUAUUCUAGGCACUUUGAAUGUUUGCUGUCAGGGAACAUAAAACACCAUGAGUACUGAUUUGGGGGUUACAAAUACAUUAUAGCAAGUAGGGAAAUGAGCAAAUGCGGUAAUCUGUGAAUGAUGAUUAUCGAUUCUGAGUGUCUGUGUCUAUGUGGAAGACAUAUACUUCAACAUAUAAAUAUAUACAUGCAUAUCUGAUUAUGAACAAAAAUGUUGGAAAGAAUACCAUCCUAUCUUUGGGGAGUCAUAGCGGAGAAGAGUAAGAAAAAAGUAGUUUUGUUUAUUUUAUACAUUCUUGGUUUUAUUAUUUUUUCUAAACAACAAAGCAGCAACAACAAAACACAUACUACUCUAUUAAAAAAAAAAAAAAAAAAAGACUUACCAAGGCUAAGAAAGGACCCAAUGAAAGAGCAGAAACUAGGAAAACAAUCAGUCCCAGGGAAAUAAGACGGACAAAGCUGAAACUGUUCCACCGGACAGACCCAUCUACAGAAAGCAACAAUACCAUUACUAGGAGCAUGGACCACCAUAACUUAAGAAUAUGCUAAAACUAGGAGUAUCCCCUGAUAGUAUACCAAUCUUUACGAAGUGGCAAGAGCACAGAAAAGUCAGAAUGGGUAAAGGGUUUGUAGGAUCAGUUAAUUGAGAGGUAUCUCAAGCAUGCCUGGGUGGCUCAGUUGAUUAAGUGUCUGCCUCCGGCUCAGGUGGUGAUUCUGGGGUCCUCGGAUCCAGCCUGGCAUUGGGCUCCCUGCUCAGAGGGGAGUCUGCCUCUCCCUCUCCCUCUGACACUCUCCCUACUUGUGCUCUCCUGCUCUGUUAAAUAAAUAAAUGUUUUUUAAAAACCCCACAACAGUCACAAGGUAUCUGUUGUGCCUCAUAAAACCCUCAUGAAGCAAAUUACCAAGCUAAUAAAAAAAUAAAAUAAAGGUUUUGCUAUCAUCACUGAAA